rnacentral:rRNA from 1 species
AGAGUUUGAUCCUGGCUCAGGAUGAACGCUGGCGGCGUGCCUAACACAUGCAAGUCGAACGGAGUUCUUAAGGAAUGCGACUUCGGUCAAAUGACUUUUGAACUUAGUGGCGGACGGGUGAGUAACGCGUGAGCAACCUGCCUUUCAGAGGGGGAUAACAUUUGGAAACAGAUGCUAAUACCGCAUAAGAUUACAGUACCGCAUGAUACAGUGAUCAAAGGAGCAAUCCGCUGAAAGAUGGGCUCGCGUCCGAUUAGAUAGUUGGUGAGGUAACGGCUCACCAAGUCGACGAUCGGUAGCCGGACUGAGAGGUUGAACGGCCACAUUGGGACUGAGACACGGCCCAGACUCCUACGGGAGGCAGCAGUGGGGAAUAUUGCACAAUGGGCGAAAGCCUGAUGCAGCAACGCCGCGUGAGGGAAGACGGUUUUCGGAUUGUAAACCUCUGUUUUCGGUGACGAAUAAAUGACGGUAACCGAGUAGGAAGCCACGGCUAACUACGUGCCAGCAGCCGCGGU